rnacentral:rRNA from 1 species
GGGGAAUCUUGGACAAUGGGCGAAAGCCUGAUCCAGCCAUUCCGCGUGAGUGAAGAAGGCCUUCGGGUUGUAAAGCUCUUUCGGCAGGAACGAAACGCUCUAGAUUAAUACUCUGGGGUAAUGACGGUACCUGAAGAAGAAGCACCGGCUAACUACGUGCCAGCAGCCGCGGUAAUACGUAGGGUGCGAGCGUUAAUCGGAAUUACUGGGCGUAAAGCGUGCGCAGGCGGUUUUGUAAGACAGAUGUGAAAUCCCCGGGCUUAACCUGGGAACUGCGUUUGUGACUGCAAGACUCGAGUACGGCAGAGGGGGGUGGAAUUCCACGUGUAGCAGUGAAAUGCGUAGAGAUGUGGAGGAACACCGAUGGCGAAGGCAGCCCCCUGGGUCGAGACUGACGCUCAUGCACGAAAGCAUGGGGAGCAAAC